GAUUUCCCGACCUCCCCGCCUUGGGCAAAGAUGGGUAUGCACUCUUUUUUUAUUAUGUGGAGGCCUCGUUUCUACCAGAGGUGCUCGUAUACAUCUUUUCUUUUCUUUUUUUCAAAUUUAUAGGCCUCCAUGAUGAUGGGAUGCGUUGGGCAAUAACCUACCCACCUCGAGUAAAGGAGGGAUCGAUACUCUAAUUCCAUGCUUCGGGAAUUCUUUCCCUUGUGUCUCCUGCCAUAGAGGACUUACUCUCAUGCAGGUUAGGUUUUGCUAACUUAUGUGCCCUGGACACAUCUCGUCUUGUACCUUUCAUCGUGGUAAAUUUCUUCUUACGAAGAUUAGGUUUUCUCAACUUGUGUGACUCAAGCACAUUUUAUCCUGUGCCUUCUAUCAUGGUAGUAGUUCACGUUUUCCUAACUCAUACUUUGGUCACAUUUUAUCUUGUGCCUCCUGCCAUGGCAUACUUGUUUUAUGUGGGUUAGGUUUUCUUAACUUAUGUACCUCAAGCAUAUUUUGUCAUAUGCCUCAUAUCGUUGUGGGUUUCUUAUUACCCGGGCCAUGCUUUUUAAACUCACAUACCUCGGGCACAUGUUAUCUUUUGCCUCCUACUGUGAUAGGUUUCUUAUUAUGUUGGUCGGGUUCUCCUAACUCAUGUGUUUCUGGCACAUUUUAUCUUGUGCCUCCUAACGUAAUGAGUUUCUUCUCACGGAUCGAGUUUUUCCGACUCAUCCACCUUAAGCACAUGUCUUAUACCUCCCGCCAUGGUGAAUUUUGUAUUAUGCAGGUUGAGUUUUCUCGACUUACAUGCCUCGGGCAUAUUUUGUUUUGUGCCUCCGGUUGUGGUGGGUUUCUUAUUAUAUGGGCCAAGUUUUUUCGAUUCACGUGCCCUAGGUAUAUUUUAUUUUAUGUCUCUCAUCGUGACAGGUAUAUUUUAUCUUGUGUCUCUUAUCCUGACUCACAUAGCUCAGACAUAUUCUGUUUUGUGCCUUCUGUCAUUAUAUUUUUUUUUUACGUGGGUCAAAUUUUCCUGACUCAUGCGUCUCGAGCAUAUUUUAUCUUGUACUUCUCAUCAUGACGAGUUUCUUAUUAUACUGAUCGGGUUUUCUCUAGUCACGUGCCUAGGGCACAAUUUGUCUUGUGCCUCCCAUCGUGAUGGAUUUUUUUGCUCUUUUUAGGUGAUCUUCAAACAUCAAUGACUUUUGCACUUUCUAACGUGAUCUUUACAUAUUGAUCACUUUUGCACUAUCUGAGAUGCCUCUUUGUCUUUAACUUACAACAUCACUAUUACAUCAUGGUUCUUCUUGAUCGCAUAUCGGAUGUCAUCAUUUAUCAAUAGUCCCUUAUGAUCGAUAAUUUCCAUGAGGAGGUGGAGCGUUGAAAAGGAAAAAGGAGACCCAAUGCUUGUCGCUGAGGCAAAGGCUUGAGGAGUCAUGCUGGUGAUGUAACUAGAAGAGACUGAGUGAUGCCUCGUCGAGAAUUGGGUUUGAUGAGGGUCUAUGAUUCUGAGCUCAUCGAGCAAGUUACAAGGUUUCAGGAAGAAGUGAUCCUUGUCUUGUCUUAUGAGGUGUUGGUCCUUAUUGAGUCAUUGAGUCUACCU
rnacentral:lncRNA from 1 species